rnacentral:rRNA from 1 species
UACGUAGGGUGCAAGCGUUAAUCGGAAUUACUGGGCGUAAAGCGUGCGCAGGCGGUUCGCUAAGACAGAUGUGAAAUCCCCGGGCUUAACCUGGGAAUGGCAUUUGGGACUGCAAGGCUGGAGUUUGGCAGAGGAGACUGGAAUUCCUGGUGUAGCAGUGAAAUGCGUAGAUAUCAGGAGGAAUACCGAUGGCGAAGGCGGCAUCCUGGACCGGUAUUGACGCUGAGGCGCGAAAGCCAGGGGAGCAAACGGG